GUGGCAGUCAGGAGAGAUCCUGCACAUUCCUUAGACGCUCAAGCUCUCUGAGAGCACCAAGCAUUAAUAUUUUGGAAGGAAAACAUGAACCAGGCAGGAAAGGGUAACAUUGUCAUUGUCCGUUCGCAAGACUGCAAGCUUGAGGAAGCCAUGGAUUAGGGACCUGGCCUUAUCCAUCGCUGUAUCCACGGAACCUGGCAUUGUGUACCCAGAGUAGACAAGUGUGGAAGUGUUACUCGUGAGCUAAGUCCUGAAUGAGACAGUCAAUCACACGGGGUCCCGCCUCAAAGGAUUCUGCUGGACACUUGUGCUGGAUGGGAACAUCAGUGGAUUGAAACCAGGUUUGGGGUCUAAAAGGCGAGGUUUAAGUCCUGGUGCCACGACUGCUGAGCUAUGUUAUCACUACAUAGCUGAGAAGUGUGCGAUCACUUCUCAGCUGGGGGAGCGACGGACCCUCUCCCGGUGUCAAUGAACCCAAGAGUUUGGAUGCCACACUCUCGUGAGAGCCACCAAGGACUUGGAGAGAGACGCAUUGGUUCCCCAAGAGUGGGCGGGCUGCCCCACGAGAAAAGACACCAGAAACGGACUCAUCUGGGCCUAUGGAAACAAAGUACCUAUACCCUGAAGUGAACAGAAUUAAAAAUCCUCUUGAUAAACAGACCUCAGAGCGCUGGGCUGUUUGGUUUCAGAAUCUCUUGUCACCUACCCACCCUAUCCAUUUUGGGGUUUAAUGUUCAACGAGGUUAUCACAUGGAAAUCCAGCAAGCAAAUCUUAGGAGAUUUUCAGGCCAAAUUGUAAAACCCAUAAUGUUUACAUGGUCUAGAUAAAAUUUUAUUGUCUAUUUAUAUUUCAAUUUCCUAAAUGCCGAUAGCAAAACUGCCCUUAUAUAAACACGAGAAGAAAUUCCCAGCACUCAAAUACUACUUUUAUCUACCUUCCCUAUCUCGAAGCUUCUAGAAAAAUGCAUCUAGAAAGCAUCUAGAAAGAAGCAUCUAGAAAGAUGACAUCUUUUCCAACCACCAUCCUCCUGCACCUGCUCCUGUCACUGGACGUAAGUCUAAGGUUUCUCUAAAGUUAAUGAUUAAAAUAUUCGAGUGGACAUUAUUCAUCAUUUCUUGGGAGCAUUCUUGGGUCAUCCAUUAAUGUGCAGUUCUGAAACAGCAUAAGGUAGAUUCUUAAAUGGUGCAGUAUGGAUUCUGAUCUGGAGAGAAUUUCACCUAUUAUGAAUGGUUUUUAUAUAAAGAACCACCCGUAGAUCUCCACUUUUGAACAUUUCCCCUCUUCACUGGUAGUCAAGAUUGUCAAGGCCACUUCCUCUUUGAUCAGGUUGUUAUUCAACCAGAGUCUUUUUUCAAGGGAACAGCCCUUCUGGAGAAGGGUUCAGAAACCCACAGAUUCCUACCAAAAGAAAUUCCUAUAUUCUUAUCCAGUGCCUGUUUCAAAUACGUGUCUCUAAACAUAAUUCCUUUUAUCAUCCAGACUCUUAUGAUUCAUUCGAAAGAAAUUCAGAGCCAAAUCAAGGUUUUUAAACAAAUAUUUCUAAGGAGCGUGUUGUACAAGUUUGACCUAUUUUAGCUUCCCCAGGAGGUUAUUUCAGGUCGAUGAAUAAGGAUAUGUUCAUGAAGAGCAGAGAAUACAUUUGUUGAUUCUUAAAAGAAAACUCAGAUUUGGUGAGACUUGAAGUUUUUCUUUGGUGAUUCAUAAUCAGUUUUGCAACUUGAAAGCAGUUGAUGAAUCAUUCAUUUUACGAAUCUGCUGUCACUUCCUUAGAGAGAAGGGCUCCCUUUUCCUUAUGGUUUUCUGAAGUUUGAUUCAGUUAUCUGAAAGCUAUCAAGGUAGCCUCAUGUCUACUACCUCGCAGAGAAAGAGGAUGUUAUAUGCCAACAUCAACUUUAUUGCCAGGUAAGAGGCUGGGGACUAGUGGUGUAAAUUGUGUGAGAUGUCGCUGCUCUGGGCUUCUGGGUCCCUGCAGAAUGGAGGUUGCAUUGGAAAAAAAAAAAAAAAAACAACAAAGAAACAAACAGACGCUAUAGAAAUACCAGUCCUGGUUUUCUAAGUUCUACACAGGAAGUCUCUUUUGAGCUAUCUUGUUUCUUCUUUCCAGUGCAGUAAACUUGAGCCACCUGGACCACUGCUGGGCCCUAUGACCUUUCACUAGGAUGGAAUGGCAGCUUUAACUGUAAAAACAAGACAAAAUACCUUCAGCUAGUUAAGACAUAAAUGUGGCAUAUUUAUACUGAUGAGGCCUUUGGGAAGAGAAAAGUGGCUGCUUUCAGGCCCAGAGAGAUCAUAUACUGCGUUUCUGGAUUCCUUCUUUUGAUCAGGAAAUCCGAUCAAUAUCCUUAUAGGGAAAGGUUCAAGUGGGUCACAGGUGGGGCGCUUUACUUAAACUGUCUGCUUCUUAGUCCAUAUUAGGCAACAGGAACUGCCUGAAAGUCAUUUAUUUUUCAUUCUGUGUCAUUCAACCAUAAAUGACUCAGUUCUGAUAUUAUUUACCAAGUUCCACUGGACUCCUAGGAGAGGCAACCCGAGAACACAUGUAAUGCUAAUCUUAUACACUCAGCAGGGAAGGCAAAUGAGUGAGUAGUAAAAGGGAUGCUUUUUCCUUAAGAUCAUAAUUAGUUUAAUAGCUGACUCACAUCCCAGGGACUUGACCGAGUCCUCAAAGUGCUUCAUUUCUAAAAGAAUACAACUAAAUCUAAGUUAUUUUCCUGUCAAAUGGCCAAGCUUAUUAAAGCUUAAGGGGGAUCCUUAAAAGUCAUACUUGAAACCUUACGGGAUUCGAGAAUCUAAUCUAGUAACGGUCACAAAGGUGAAAAUAAUUAUGAAACAUUAAUCAAAUAUUCAGCCUGUCAGAAGAACUUAUGACAACUUUAUUUAUU